rnacentral:rRNA from 1 species
CCUACGGGUGGCAGCAGUGGGGACUAUUGGGCAAUGGAGGCGACUCUUACCCAGCAACGCCGCGUGAAGGAUGAAUGCUUUAUGGUUGUAAACUUCUUUUGUUAGGGGAGAGUAGAAGACGGUGCCUGACGAGUACGCCACGGCUAACUACGUGGCAGCAGCCGCGGUCAUACGGAGGUGGCAGGCGUUGGCCGGAUUUACUGGGUGUAAAGGGCGUGUAGCCGGGUUGACAAGUCAGAUGUGAAAUCCUGCGGCUUAACCGCAGAACUGCAUUUGACACUGUUGAUCUUGAGUACAGGAGAGGCAGACGGAAUUCCUAGUGUAGCGGUGAAAUGCGUAGAUAUUAGGAGGAACACCAGUGGCGAAGGCAG